GACGAACGCUGGCGGCGUGCUUAACACAUGCAAGUCGAACGGUAACAGGCCCUUCGGGGUGCUGACGAGUGGCGGACGGGUGAGUAAUGCUUAGGAAUCUGCCUAGUAGUGGGGGAUAACCCGGGGAAACUCGGGCUAAUACCGCAUACACCCUACGGGGGAAAGGCGGGGGACGUUUCGGGCCGUCGCGCUAUUAGAUGAGCCUAAGUCCGAUUAGCUAGUUGGUAGGGUAAGUGGCCUACCAAGGCGACGAUCGGUAGCUGGUCUGAGAGGACGACCAGCCACCACUGGGACUGAGACACGGCCCAGACUCCUACGGGAGGCAGCAGUGGGGAAGUAUUUGGGACAAUGGGCGGCAAGCCUGAUCCAGCGAUGCCGCGUGUGUGAAGAAGGCCUGCGGGUUGUAAAGCAC
rnacentral:rRNA from 1 species